rnacentral:rRNA from 1 species
CCCUUUUGGGUGUGACUGCGUACCUUUUGUAUAAUGGGUCAGCGACUUAUAUUCUGUAGCAAGGUUAACCGAAUAGGGGAGCCGGAGGGAAACCGAGUCUUAAUUGGGCGUUAAGUUGCAGGGUAUAGACCCGAAACCCGGUGAUCUAGCCAUGGGCAGGUUGAAGGUUGGGUAACACUAACUGGAGGACCGAACCGACUAAUGUUGAAAAAUUAGCGGAUGACCUGUGGCUGGGGGUGAAAGGCCAAUCAAACCGGGAGAUAGCUGGUUCUCCCCGAAAGCUAUUUAGGUAGCGCCUCGUGAAUUCAUCUCCGGGGGUAGAGCACUGUUUCGGCUAGGGGGCCAUCCCGGCUUACCAACCCGAUGCAAACUGCGAAUACCGGAGAAUGUUAUCACGGGAGACACACGGCGGGUGCUAACGUCCGUCGUGAAGAGGGAAACAACCCAGACCGCCAGCUAAGGUCCCAAAGUCAUGGUUAAGUGGGAAACGAUGUGGGAAGGCCCAGACAGCCAGGAUGUUGGCUUAGAAGCAGCCAUCAUUUAAAGAAAGCGUAAUAGCUCACUGGUCGAGUCGGCCUGCGCGGAAGAUGUAACGGGGCUAAACCAUGCACCGAAGCUGCGGCAGCGACGCUCAGGCGU